rnacentral:lncRNA from 1 species
UUUAUUAUAUUCAAAUAAAACGGCAGGGAUACAAGCGUAAAUAUAGAAAGCAUAUAGUGGCAAAAAAAGAAAAGAACGAAAAUUAGGGUUGCUCUGGUAUAAAUUGAAGAGAGGGCGAGCGGGCAAGAUCUAAAUCACGCCCAAGGCCGAGCGCUUCCCUCUUUAGUUAGGGGUGGCGUGGUAUUCCACGAGAGAGGUUUACAUCGUGGCGCACGUCAGUGCGUUGGGCGCACAAUAAGAAAUAGGGAACUCCAUGGCCGCUUUGCUGCUCUAGUCUUUGCAGUCAAGGCGAGGGUAUUGUCCUACAUCUUUUCUUCCUUUUUUUUUGGCUUUUAAUUUCACACAGAAGUUAUUUUCCAGAGAUUAUUACUUGUCAAAGUAUUUUUUUUGUGUGUGAUCGAAGAAAUCCUGAGUCGUAACUACACAGAAUGGAAAUCUGAGGUUUUUAUCUUUUCCCGUUUUUAUUUUGAAUUUUUUUAAGAUUUUGUUAAUAAAAAUGGAAAAACUUAAAGCCGCAAGGUAUGUAUCACCUAAUACAGUCCCCGUGAGUCUUGUUCUAGUGCUUUUGAUUUUUGAGUUGAGUUAAUAAUGCAGGAUUUUAUUGCAAAAUUAUUUCAUAAUAAUGUUUAGUAAAAUAAAAGCAGAAACGUUGGAGUGCUAAUAAGUUUUUUUGUAAAAUUUUUCAAUUUUGUUUCUAUACUUUAAAAGCACAUUCAAUCACAUUGUGUAGUGCGACUUGUUUGUUGUUCUUAACAUAAAAGUAUUAUCUUUUUAUUUUUAUAUGAAUUUAGAUAUUCAUAUUUAUUUGGGUAUCCAGGAUUAAUCAAAUUCUAGAGGUGUAAGUAGUAAGGAAAGUGAAGGUAAUUUUGAAAAAUUAGAAUAAACAUAAUUUAAUUUGAAAUAACAUUUAAUUACUAUUAUUUACUUACCUGUUGUUGGUUUUGAAAAUUUUAUUCAAUAACUUGCAUAGAAAUAUGAGUACUUUCCCUUUGAAUUAUAUAUGUCAAGCCUAAAUGUGGCCAUGAUCAUGUUGUUGAUUCGAAGAAGUGAAGGCCAUGAAAAGAUAAAUCUUCUGGCUUUUAAAGAUCAAAAUAUAAUAACUGGAAUAAAUGUAUGACAGCAUAACAGCAUGCAUCAUAUUAUUCCCAAUAUGGCCAUAUGAUUAGAACAUGUCAGCUUACCACAUGUUAGGCUAAAACAAAAUAUAACUAACGUCAAUCAACUUUUUCAUAAUCUAAUUUUAGAUACCCCGAAGUUUUUUGUCAAGCCUAAAUGUGGCCAUGAUCAUGUUGUUGAUUCGAAGAAGUGAAGGCCAUGAAAAGAUAAAUCUUCUGGCUUUUGGACACAAAAAGAUAAAUCUUCUGGCUUUUAAAGAUCAAACUAUAAUAACUGGAUUAGAAUAUUAUGACAAGAUGAGAUGAAUAGAGAAAAAAAAUUGAGGUUGAAAUGCUAUUUAAUUAAAUUUCUAAUAGGUUUAAUUAAUUUAUUUAAUGAUUUAAUUGGAAAGACACUAAGUUAAAAAGUCAAGUCAAUUGGGUAAAGAUUGGAAGAAUUAAUUAAGUUAAAGGAUUUAAUUAAAUUUUUAAUGGGUUUUAUGGAUUUAAUUAAAAAAAAAUCAAGUGUGAAGGUCUAAUUCAUAAAGAUUGGAAGAUUAAGGAUACAAUUGAAAAAUUGAAACUUUAAAAAUCUAAAUUGGUGCAAUGAGAGGUUUAGUUGAAAGAAAUUUGAAAAUUAAAAGCUAAUUGAGGGUUAAAUUGAAGAAUUUCUAAACAAAAAAUUGUUCUUAUAUGAAAAAAAAAACUCUUAAAACAACAUUCACACACUUAUUAAGAAUAGAAAAAUUAAAAAGUUAUUAAAAAAAUAAAUAUAAUGAAAAAAAAAAACUUAUUUUAAUUUCAUUGCGUGUGAAGCUAAAAAAAGAAAAGAAAAAUCCAUAAAGUAUGUUAAUCAAGAAAAAAAAGACUAAGAAGAUAAAAGAAAAAAAGAGAAGAAGAUUUACAUGUGCAUGGAGGAGAAGAGAAGAGAAAAAGUUGAGGAGAGAAGAAAAAAAAAGAGAGUGAUGUUGAUAUUUUUACAAAAGAGGAAGAGAUAACAAGAAGUGCAUUUGUUAUGAAAUUAGUGAUUUUGGUGUUUUAAUUGAGUUUUUUUAUAGAUAGAUAAUUAAAUAUUAAUAUUUUUAACUUAUUAUCGGUGAAUUUACAGUCCGUCGGUGAUUCUGCUUGUAAUAUUUAAUUUAAUAAAAAAUUUUCAUAAACCCCCCAAAUAUUAUCAACGACUUUUUCAGUCUAUCGAUGAUUUUAUUUGUAAAAAACAAUAAUUAACAUUACAAUUUAAAAGCGACCAGUUCCAGAGUUUUUAGGAAAAUACCAACGGACUUAAUCCAUCGGUAAUUCCGUAUGUAAUUGACAACAUAAACAAUGUAAUUGAAAAGUAAACAGUCUCAAAGCUAUCUGAAAUAUACUAACAGACUUAUUAUGUCGGUGUAUCUGUUGGUAUUUUAUAAUUCCAAUUCUCUCUUAAAUAUUAGAGAUAAAUUUAUGGAUGAAUUAAUACCGUCGGUAAUACUAUUUAUAUAAAUGACAUGUCAUUAUACCUUUUUUUUUAAGUCCUUUUCCCACUAUCAUCCCCCAAUAUAUAUCGACGAAAUAUUUAUGUUGGUGUUUACCGAUAGAUAUAGUGGGAGAUAUUUUAUUGGUAAAAUUUAUUACAAUCUAUCGAUAAAAAUAUUCCAUCAUUAUUUUUAUUUGUAUUUGUUAAUUUUCUAAUAAUGAUAUAUAUAUAUAUAUAUAUAUAUAUAUAUAUAUAUUUUACAGUCAUCUUGGGCCUAAUAAUAAAAUUUUAAUGGUGGCAAGUAGCAGCGCAACUGAAACUAGCAGGCUGCCCAGGGCCAUGUUCACGGUUUCCAGACUGCUCUUCUGCUUGCAUCUUUUACAAAUAC